UACGAAGGGGGCUAGCGUUGUUCGGAAUCACUGGGCGUAAAGGGCGCGUAGGCGGCUUUAUAAGUCGGGGGUGAAAGCCUGUGGCUCAACCACAGAAUUGCCUUCGAUACUGUAGAGCUUGAGACCGGAAGAGGUAAGUGGAACUGCGAGUGUAGAGGUGAAAUUCGUAGAUAUUCGGAAGAACACCAGUGGCGAAGGCGACUCACUGGCCCGAUACUGACGCUGAGGCGCGAAAGCGUGGGGAGCAAACAGG
rnacentral:rRNA from 1 species